UGACUAACAUAUCUGUGUGGAGAAUCUAC
rnacentral:sRNA from 1 species